rnacentral:rRNA from 1 species
UCGCUGACGAGUGGCGGACGGGUGAGUAAUGUCUGGGAAACUGCCUGAUGGAGGGGGAUAACUACUGGAAACGGUAGCUAAUACCGCAUAACGUCGCAAGACCAAAGAGGGGGACCUUCGGGCCUCUUGCCAUCGGAUGUGCCCAGAUGGGAUUAGCUAGUAGGUGGGGUAACGGCUCACCUAGGCGACGAUCCCUAGCUGGUCUGAGAGGAUGACCAGCCACACUGGAACUGAGACACGGUCCAGACUCCUACGGGAGGCAGCAGUGGGGAAUAUUGCACAAUGGGCGCAAGCCUGAUGCAGCCAUGCCGCGUGUAUGAAGAAGGCCUUCGGGUUGUAAAGACCUUUCAGCGGGGAGGAAGGGAGUAAAGUUAAUACCUUUGCUCAUUGACGUUACCCGCAGAAGAAGCACCGGCUAACUCCGUGCCAGCAGCCGCGGUAAUACGGAGGGUGCAAGCGUUAAUCGGAAUUACUGGGCGUAAAGCGCACGCAGGCGGUUUGUUAAGUCAGAUGUGAAAUCCCCGGGCUCAACCUGGGAACUGCAUCUGAUACUGGCAAGCUUGAGUCUCGUAGAGGGGGGUAGAAUUCCAGGUGUAGCGGUGAAAUGCGUAGAGAUCUGGAGGAAUACCGGUGGCGAAGGCGGCCCCCUGGACGAAGACUGACGCUCAGGUGCGAAAGCGUGGGGGAGCAAACAGGAUUAGAUACCCUGGUAGUCCACGCCGUAAACGAUGUCGACUUGGAGGUUGUGCCCUUGAGGCGUGGCUUCCGGAGCUAACGCGUUAAGUCGACCGCCUGGGGAG